AGCGUAGACGGAUGGACAAAGUCUGAUGUGAAAGGCUGGGGCUCAACCCCGGGACUGCAUUGGAAACUGCCCGUCUUGAGUGCCGGAGAGGUAAGCGGAAUUCCUAGUGUAGCGGUGAAAUGCGUAGAUAUUAGGAGGAACACCAGUGGCGAAGGCGGCUUACUGGAUGGUAACUGACGUUGAGGCUCGAAAGCGUGGGGAGCAAACA
rnacentral:rRNA from 1 species